CAACCUGGUGCUCUCUAGACUGAUGGGACCUCUUUUCAAGACACUAGCAACAUGCUGUCUUUCCUGGAAAGUAGUAUUCUUGGCAGCUAUAACUUCAGCAAGGAGGCUGUCUGAGCUUCAGGCCUUACCUUCUGAUCUCCCUUCUAUGAGUUUUCUGUAAGGACAAGGUGCAGUUGACCUUUCUCCCAAAGUGCUCUGUGUAUAGCAGUGGUCACCAUCCGGCAGAUCUUGGAGACUGACAGGUGAUCCUGACUGGUUUGGCUGGAAAGGGAGAAGUUGGAACUGCAUCAUCACUACCAUUUUCAUACUGUAUCUGAUCUCAGGGAAAGGACUCCAUAGAAGAAUUAGUGCAACAACCCUACUAGAGAUAAAAUAAUAACAUUAAAAGAUCAUUCUUCUUUGUCAUGAAUGCCUUAUAAUGGUGAGCAAUCCAGUGAGUCCCACUGAGAUCCAAGGGGAACUGUUUGGCACUCCUGAAUAUCCAUCUAUUAUUUAGGUGGGCCUAAAUAAGGACUUCGGACUCUAACUUUGUGUAACACUCCCCGUUUUUUUAGUCUUGCCUGGAAUAUUUUAAUCCUUAAUUAUGUUUUAUAGCCACAAUUCAGGAAAGUAUGUCCUGCAUCUCUUUAGUUGUUAGACUUCUAAUUAUGCUUUGGUUUCAUGACAGUUGUUACACAGUGUCAAUUAGGGGCCGAAUUUUGUCACUUUUCCUUCAAUAGAGCAAUAUCUUACUUCAGAAUAGUCUCAAGGAGUAAGGGUGGCAAAAUUUGGCCCUUAUUUAUUAACAUUGCUAUCUUUUAGGUGUAAAAUAAAAUAUUUCUGUUGUCUUUAAGAACUGCUUGUUUCAUUUUUAUAGUGUAUGUACAAGAAUAUGACCAGCUAAUAAAAUCUGGUAUUUAACUGUUUAGUGAAAUUCCUUUAAAAAAAUCAUGCAUUCACUAACGA